rnacentral:rRNA from 1 species
GAUGAACGCUGGCGGCGUGCCUAACACAUGCAAGUCGAGCGAACGGACGAGAAGCUUGCUUCUCUGAUGUUAGCGGCGGACGGGUGAGUAACACGUGUAUAACCUACCUAUAAGACUGGGAUAACUUCGGGAAACCGGAGCUAAUAGCGGAUGAUAUUUUGAACCGCAUGGUUCAAAGGUAAAAGACGGUGUUGCUGUCACUUAUAGAUGGAUCCGGGCUGCAUGAGCUAGUUGGUAAGUUAACGGCUUACCAAGGCUACGAUGCAUAGCCGACCUGAGAGGGGGGUCGGCGACACUGGAAGGGAGACACGGUCCAGACGCCUACGGGAGGCAGCAGUAGGGAAUCGUACGCAAUGGGCGAAAGCCUGACGGAGCAACGCCGAGUGAGUGAUGAAGGUCUUCGGAUCGUAAAGCUCUGUUAUUAGGGAAGAACAGAUGUGGAAGUAACUGUGCAGAUCUUGACGGUACCUAAUCAGAAAGCAACGGCUAACUACGUG